AUCCAUAAAAUAAAAGCUGACGUUUAUACUGUACAUUACAAAACGCAAAUCACACACCAAGUGAUCUAAAUAUUUAACCGUACAUAGAUAUUAAAUAUAAAUAAUCGAUAUUUUAUACUUAUAUAGCGACAUGUAGCAAAUAUUUCAUACCACCUUUCCUUAUAUGGCAAUGAUUCCGCAGUACUUCCGGCUCAAAGUUUAACGGUGAGACGAGGCGACAAAUCACGAGGGCGACAAAUGAUUAAAAUUUUGGUCAGUACCUCGCACAAAUCUAUAGUGUGGCUUCAAAAUAUGUGUAACAUAGUGCACGGAGUCUGAUGGGCUACUUCUCAUUUUUGAGGCCAGAAUAACAGGACAUCACACACAUUUUAGAAGACGGGACCCUGAUCCCGGCGAACUGUUCUGGGAGCAGUCAGGAAAAGAUUAUGAUAUAAGAGAGUUGUACAUUGACAAAGUUCAGCCCACAACCCCUGCUCAAGGUUGCAUUGAAAAGCUUGUGUCUGCUUUCCCAUAAUCCUGUGAGUGGGUCGCCGGGAGUCAUGUUGAAUGGUCAUCUGAGCUCUGCACCCAGUGUCCCUCUCCAAAUUACAGACUUCAUUCAGUAAAGGGAAACUGCACCUUGCAUGUAUACGCUAUGGAUGCCACGAUCCCAGAGCUGUGACUUAUCUUCCACCGGGCGAGAUUGAUAUGGAGGCAAGAAGAAAUUAACAACUUGGAUGACAUGGGGGU